rnacentral:misc_RNA from 1 species
AUGGCACACCUUCUUUCUCAUGGACAACUUGAUGGAAGCGGCUAGAAUGGAAUGAUACUUGGCUACUAGGUGAAUGAAUGGGUGGAGAAAAAUACAAAAUUAAACUCAUGGCAAUUUGAUGCUAUUAGAUGAUGAAAGACCAUUAGAAGCUUUAUUUCGCGCGAUGGAAGGAAUGCUUACAACACUUUUUCUUAACAGUGUCAUGUAGCAUUGCACCAUCCUUUGGACAAUUGAACCACUCGAGUUUGUCAGUAUCAAUAUUUGAACUAUUACUUUCUUGAAUCAUGAUAUUUUGACCUUAGAGCACACCUUGAUAGUGCAGAGUAACUGCAACUAGAUGCUAUGCAAAUACUUGUGGAGGAAUUUUUUGCGUGUAAGGAAGUAUAUCAAAUUACAGUAUAAUCUCACAUACAAGCACAUUAACUCUCAACUUUCAAAGUUGAACCAGCAAAGGAUUACUACAAUGAAAGACCCCAUCUAUUUUCUUACAGUAUAAUCUCACAUACAAGCACAUUAACUCUCAACUUUCAAAGUUGAACCAGCAAAGGAUUACUACAAUGAAAGACCCCAUCUAUUUUC